AUCUACAGCCAUACCACCCUGAACACGCCAGAUCUCGUCAGGUCUGGAAGCAAAGCAGGGUCGGGCCUGGUUAGUACUCUGGAUUACCGGGAGCCUUAGGCU
rnacentral:rRNA from 1 species